GACGAACGCUGGCGGCGUGCUUAACACAUGCAAGUCGAACGAAGUGGCGAACGGGUGAGUAACGCGUAAUCAACCUGCUCUUCAGGGGGGGACAACAGUUGGAAACGACUGCUAAUCCCGCAUACUGAAGGAGGGGUAUGCGUCGGAUUGGCUCGUUGGAGGGGUAACGGCCCACCAAGGCGAUGAUCAGUAGCCGGUUUGGGAGGAUGAACGGCCACAUUGGGACUGGGACAAGGCCCAGACUCCUACGGGAGGCAGCAGUGGGGAAUCAUCCGCAAUGGACGAAAGGCUGACGGAGCAACGCCGCGUGAGUGAUGACGGCCUUCGGGUUGUAAAGCUAUGUUAAUCGGGACGCGGUACCGGAAUAGAAAGCCACGGCUAACUACGUGCCAGCCGCCGCGGUAAUAC
rnacentral:rRNA from 1 species